ensembl:lncRNA
GUGGCCGGCAGCACUGGUCACUCAGGGCCCCAUCGGUACCCUGGACUCAGCCCGACAGCCAGCUCUGGCUGGUGGAUCCAGUGAUUUGGGGGUCCGAGCACGCAGUAGGAGGCUGGGAGACCACCUGGAGGAGGGUGGGGCCAUUAUAACGUCUACUCUACAGACCAGGAAACCGAGGCUCAGAGGCGUUAACACCCUACCCAAGCGUCAGCAUGAAGACAGAGAAAAGGACAGAAGCAGACAGAGAGAGAAGGACCACGAGACAUUGGCUGGCAGGGGCAGACACAGGGGGAAGGAGAGAGAGUCUCCUACGGGAAGCUCCUCUCCUGGGCUGCCUCGGGGGGCGCUGGGGGCCGAGGGCUGCAGUGGCCCGGCCCUGCCCUGCCCUAGGCGAUGCCUGGUCUGGAGGAAGAGGAGCCGAAGGGCAGGGUCCGCACUGGAUGGAGCGCCAGAAGAGGGGAGAUGGAGGCCCAGGGCUUCCCCACAACCAGAGCCUCCGGGAGCCAGUCUCCCUCUAGGGCUCUGGAGGCAGAAGACCUCCCUGACUGGGUCACGCGGAUGUGAGCUCGUGAACUGAGGGUGCCCUGCAUGGACUCCUUACGGCGGGACAGCCUCGUGCCAAGGCCUGCAGCCAUGUUCCCUUGUCUAGUCCUCACGGCAGUUCCACCAGAAGGCUGCUAUGACGGCCUCCCCCCGACAGAUGAGGAAACUGAGGCUCAGAGAGGCCUUGUCCACAGUCACGUAGCUUGUAAAGGUUUCAGAGCCUCACGACCUCCUCUGGCUGCUCCCCUCAGGCUGGCCCCAGGGCCUGGGCAGCUGUGGGGCCCUGGGCCCCGAGGCAAGGCCCCCUCUUCUGUUGCCAAGGUGGCAGAGGAAGGUGCCUACCUGCCCCUCCCAGGCGCGGUGCAGCGCCACGGCACCCAUGGAACGCGGCUGCAUUCCUGUGGCAGGGGUGUGGCUGCCCGCGGCCGUGUGCCCCAGGCCUGUGCCUGCUGCUGAGCCGCCCAGCGCCCGCGCUGAGUCAGCAGGCCGGCAGCCCUGUCCCUCCCAGCAAAGCCCCAUCACCAGGAGGGUGGUGGCGGCCGCGCAAAGGAGGAAACUCGACUUCCCUUGGAGGAGGGGGGCGCCUUGGGUUCUAAGCUGGGGACCCAGGCGGGGAGCAGCAGGAGGCAGGACCUUCAGAGCCAGAGGGGGGACUUCAGACUGGACAGGAGGCAACUGUGCUUUCCUCAGCGUCUUCUGUGUGCCAGGCGCCGUGCUGGCGGCCGGCGAGCUUCUCUUAUCUCACGUAAUAAAACUGACUCACUAUCCUGAUCCCCCAUUUUGCAUAUGGGGAAACUGAGGCGCGGCCAGGCCCUUAGCGAGCAAAGGGCAUGGACAGGCCUCGGAGCUAUGCUCAGUCUGCCGGGAGGGGGAUGCGGGAGGGACCCCCUGUUGCACCAGGCUUGCCCAAUGUGAGCCUGGACUAGCCACUCCCCCCUGAGCCUCAGUUUCCCAUCUCUGUGGGGGUCAGCCGAGGGUCUCUCCGAGCCCUGAGAAGGAAGGGAAAGUGAGAGGCCGCACAACUUCCUCCUCCCGCUAUUUGCUCUUGAUUAGGGACAAGUCACUUCCCCUGGCUGGUCUCACCCUCUCGGCCAGCCUUUGAUCUCCUGGCGGUGCCUGCCUUCAGAUCCCUUUAUCUUUAUGGGCAAUGCCCCUGGGUGCCACCCUCACCCGUCCGC